ensembl:lncRNA novel transcript
AGCAUAAUGUUGUUUGACUGAUACAUGAAAUCUCCAUAUGAUUUUGAGGUGGUGAAAGUUCUAUUCCUGAUGGCCCCAAAUUCCUGCCCUAUCACCUGUUCUUCCUCUACGCCACACUUGCGCCUUGAAGAAUGAAAUGUAGCAAUUGCCUUGGCCCUUAUAUGGGGGCUGGAAAAUGAAAACCACUGAAGGCUGAAACAGGCCAGGGAAGGAAAGGAACCAAAAGCAGGAUGCGCUGCAGGCUGACCAGCUGUUACAGGGAAGAUUAGAAGAUCAGAUCAAGUGCUCAGUUGGUUCUUCCUCCCUGUGUCCCCCAAACCAUCCAGGAGCAGGGGCUUGAAAGAUUUACAACACUUUACACUACUUCAACAGCUAUUUUAGUCCUUAGAUUUUAUUGCCCCAACCAUGGUCUCCUUGGGAACAGACUGAAUCUGGAUCCAGAAGUGGCUGCUGAGGGAGAAGGUAGACAAGGUAGACCAAGAGCAACUAAGUUACGAAAGCAUUUCAAGGAUGGAGUGAUCAACUGGACCAAAUGACACUGAGAGAUUAAGAAAAGAUGUAA